rnacentral:rRNA from 1 species
GUCUGAUGUGAAAUCCCGCAGCUCAACUGCGGAACUGCAUCGGAUACUCUCCGGCUAGAGGAAUGGAGGGGAGACUGGAAUUCUCGGUGUAGCAGUGAAAUGCGUAGAUAUCGAGAGGAACACCAGUGGCGAAGGCGAGUCUCUGGACAUUUCCUAACGCUGAGGCACGAAAGCCAGGGGAGCAAACGGG